GGCUGGGUUGUGUUCCCAGCGCCUGCAGCCUCUCGGAGUCAUCAUCAUCCCUCGCUCCGGGACUGUGCUGCAGGAAACUCUUCACCUUCUCCUCCAGCUGCAUCAGGCCACUCAGUUCAUGGACAGUAUCAUCUUUGACUGCUCGACCUCCCUCGUUCUCUUGUGUGCCAUGUCUCUUACCAAACGUCUCAGCGGGGAGGUCGGAUUUGGUGCAAACGCUGAGAAAUUGACGCAGGAGAAACUCUCUUCCUUCUGUUGUGAAUCCGAAGCAGCCUCUGAAAGGUGUGAUGCCAGCGAGAAACCACAUCCUUCCCGGACGAUGGAGACAUAAGCAAGAUAAGACCGAAGUAUUGAGAACCAGUUUGGACACCAUUCCGUUGUAAUCAAGAAGUCCAAUGUUUAACACUGAACAUCUUCACUAUUUGCAGAGCCAUCCAUCAUCUAUUGAGUCUUAGUUACGCAGCAUUACCAACAGGCUACACCCGACAGAGACAUGUUCGUACUUGCCAAAUUAUUUUGCUAGUACAGUAAAUACACCACAUCAUUAAACAGUAAUAAAUAUGAGCAGAUAUCUUAAUCUAAUUUUAAAUUAAUUAUUCUUUGUACCAAUUAUGGAUGCAUAAAUCAUCUGUAGACACUGUGCUUUUGAAAGAGAACUGGGAAAGGGCUUACCUAAGUUUGAUAUUUAAGUGAGUCUGCUUAUUGUUCAAAUACUCAGAAAUAUAGGUUGUAAUCAACAUUCUCACUCAGAACUUCCAUUAUUUUUUCCAUCUGUUGACUGACAUUCUAUAUAUUUCCAAGAGUUCCUGCUUGAGCAGCUUUGGGACAUUUAAAGGCACUAUGUAAAUUGUUGUUGAGUUCUUUCAGAACUUCCAGCAUUUCCAGAUUCUCACUCAAUCUCAGGAACCCUCUUAUGGAACUUCAGUGUGUUCCCAAUAAUUGUAGUGGAGAAUUCAAUAAUAGUCACUUGCCAGAAGGAAAGACGGCAAAAUGAUACAUUAAAUUGUGAUAAGUUUAAUGCAAAAUUUACUCCAUUAGCGCAAAAAAUGUCUGACAACAUGUUUCCAUCCAAACAAAAAUUGACAAUAGGUUGCAAGACUUAAUUUAGGAUUACAUUUCCAACAGACAUAAACAAGACCUGUUUUUCCCUUUUUUAAAAAAGUCACCUUUUGGAGAAGAGAAAAACUACCAGUCUUGGAUUACAGCAACUUGAUUACCAAUAUACAGGAAGAUUAGAUAAAAUAGUCAGGUUGAGCCUAUUUUGCUCAAUACACUUUUUGGUGAACCCUAAUCUGGACAGGUGGAUUGGUCAGGUACAUAUUUGCAGUCCAUUUUAUUUUCCCAAAGUACAAGAGAGAGGUUAACUUGCCCAGUUAGUUCAUCUUGCAAUUAAAAUGGAUAAUCCGCCAAAGCUACCAUCUGAAAGUUUCCAAUGCAUUAGCCUCGUUGUCUAUUCCCAGUGAUGAAUCUGCAGUCACCAAAUUUUAUUUAGUCACAUUUGGAAAAUUAGUUGGAUGAAAACUUUUUUUAAUGAACUCGAUAUUUUAAUGUUACCACGAGGCACUUUUCAGAAAAGAGUAAUGCUAACAUCUGUUCCACAUGGUAUCAACUUCAAGAGUUAGUAUGGUUUGUUACAAUGUUACCAUUGACGAUCACAUACAUCGUGGUGGGGAUGGGGGAGUUGGAAUGGUCAGAGACAUUAAAUGGUAUCAAUGAGUAAGCAGCCUUUUUUUAAAAAUUUUAAUUCUGACUCUGUGCUUAACAUUCAUGCAUAAAAGUUUUGGUGAGAUGGAACUUAGUGCCCACCCUCACGUUGAGUUUGGAAAAUGAGAGGGCAGUUCAUCAUGUUGGGGAGGUGGGUGGUAUGAGGCAAAAGAAGGGGACACCACUGUUUCUUUGCCCCUACAACAAUUGUGUCUGGGCAGAAUGAUUGGUGAUUGGCACUUAAGGGUGUCAUUCUGCCACUGCUGGUAUUGUUUUGAGGGGGUUGGGAGCAGUUGCUACUGCCUAAAAAACAAACCCUGUCACAUUUACUAUGGGCUCCUGGGGACGGUCUUUCAUCAACGGCACUGUUUGAGACAGUCACCCUCGCUGU